rnacentral:lncRNA from 1 species
AUUAAAUUAUUAAUUAAUUUAAUUAAUAUAUUUAAAUCAUUAUCCAUUGCUUGAAUAAUAAAAUAAUUAAUUAAUUUAUUACUUAUAAUUAAUUAGCUAAUUAAUUAUUAAUAAUUUAAUAUGUUUACCUAUAANUUUAUAUUUAAUUAAUUUAUUAAUAUACUUUCAUUAUCUUAUACAAUAUUCAUAGCUAAUAAAUUUUUUAAUUUAUUAAAUUAAUUUUAAGUAAUAUUUUUAUGUUAAUUAAUUAGAUAAAAUAAUUUUAAUUUAAAAUUAUAACUCUUAUUACUCUUAUUCCAAUCUAAUUAUCCAAAUACUAUUUACCUUAUUCCUAUUAACAAUUUAAUUUUUAUCCAAAUGCAAAAUUAGUAUAAUUUCUACUUAUAUCUGAAAUUAUACCUAUUCCUGAAAUAAGCAAUUCUGACUUAUACCAAACCAAACACAGCCUAAAGGAAUAAAGAACAAGCUUGUUCCAACUUGAGAACAUGCUUAAUUAAAG